rnacentral:rRNA from 1 species
AACCAGGGGAUCGAGUUGUGCGUUUAAUGGUAAAAAGAUAGUUAGACAAAAUAAUGGGUUUAGUUCAUCACACUAUCAGGAGGUAGAAUUCGAAUAUAGGUGAAUAUACUAAUUAAGACCAAUGUGUUGAAGCUAUGAUAACUUUGAGGGAAACUAGGAUUAGAUACCCUAUUAUUCAUAGUCAUAAAUAAGAAAAUUUCUACCUGAGUACUAAGAAUAAAAAAUUUAAAACUCAAAGGGCUUGGCGGUGUUUUAGACUACUUAGGGGAACCUGUCUCGUAAUCGACAAUCCACGUUAAACCUAACCUUUUUUUGCAUUCAGCUUGUAUACCGUUGUCGUCAGGUAACUUUUAAGAUAAAAAUAGUUAGCUAAAUAAAUACUUAAGUUAAAACGUCAGAUCAAGGUGCAGUUUAUAAAAAGGUGUAGAUGGGUUACAAUUAUUAUAUUCAUAAUUACAGAUAACAGCUUUAAAGGCAAUUAGCAAGGAGGACUUAAAAGUAAAAUAAAUUAUAUAAGUAUUUUGAAUAUAGCUCUGAAACGUGU